GAUGAACGCUGGCGGCGUGCCUAAUACAUGCAAGUCGAGCGAAUGGAUUAAGAGCUUGCUCUUAUGAAGUUAGCGGCGGACGGGUGAGUAACACGUAGGUAACCUGCCCAUAAGACUGGGAUAACUCCGGGAAACCGGGGCUAAUACCGGAUAACAUUUUGAACCGCAUGGUUCGAAAUUGAAAGGCGGCUUCGGCUGUCAGUUAUGGAUGGACCCGCGUCGCAUUAGCUAGUUGGUGAGGUAACGGCGCACCAAGGCAACGAUGCGUAGCCGACCUGAGAGGGUGAUCGGCCACACUGGGACUGAGACACGGCCCAGACUCCUACGGGAGGCAACAGUAGGGAAUCUUCCGCAAUGGACGAAAGUCUGACGGAGCAACGCCGCGUGAGUGAUGAAGGCUUUCGGGUCGUAAAACUCUGUUGUUAGGGAAGAACAAGUGCUAGUUGAAUAAGCUGGCACCUUGACGGUACCUAACCAGAAAGCCACGGCUAACUACGUGCCAGCAGCCGCGGUAA
rnacentral:rRNA from 1 species